rnacentral:rRNA from 1 species
GAUGAACGCUGGCGGCGUGCCUAAUACAUGCAAGUCGAGCGAACGGACGCGAAGCUUGCUUCUCUGAUGUUAGCGGAGGACGGGUGUGUAACACGUGGAUAACCUACCUAUAAGACUGGGAUAACUUCGGGAAACCGGAGCUAAUACCGGAUAAUAUUUUGAACCGCAUGGUUCAUAAGUGAAUGACGGUCUUGCUGUCUCUUAUAGAUGGAUCCGCGCUGCAUUAGCUAGUUGGUAAGGUAACGGCUUACCAAGGCAACGAUGCAUAGACGACCUGAGAGAGUGAUCGGCGACACGGGAACGGAGACACGGACCAGACUCCUACGGGAGGCAGCAGUAGGGAAUCGGCCGCAGUGGGCGAAAGCCUGACGCAGCGACGCCGCGUGAGUGAUGAAGGUCUUCGGAUCGUAAAACUCUGUUAUGAGGGAAGAACAGAUGUGUAAGUAACUGUGCACAGCUUGACGGUACCUAGUCAGAAAGCCACGGCUAACUACGUG